AUGGGCCCGUAGCUCAGGUGGUUAGAGCGCACGCCUGAUAAGCGUGAGGUCGGCAGUUCGAGUCUGCCCGGGCCCACCA
rnacentral:tRNA from 1 species